rnacentral:rRNA from 1 species
UACGUAGGGAGCAAGCGUUGUUCGGAUUUACUGGGCGUAAAGGGCGCGUAGGCGGCCAUUCAAGUCACUUGUGAAAUCUCCGGGCUUAACUCGGAACGGUCAAGUGAUACUGCUUUGCUAGAGUGCGGAAGGGGCAAUCGGAAUUCUCGGUGUAGCGGUGAAAUGCGUAGAUAUCGAGAGGAACACCUGAGGUGAAGACGGGUUGCUGGGCCGACACUGACGCUGACAGCGCGAAAGCCAGGGGAGCAAACGGG